rnacentral:rRNA from 1 species
AGCGAACGCUGGCGGCAGGCCUAACACAUGCAAGUCGAACGAACUCUUCGGAGUUAGUGGCGGACGGGUGAGUAACACGUGGGAACGUGCCUUUUGGCUUGGAAUAACUCAGGGAAACUUGUGCUAAUACCGAAUGUGUUCUUCGGGGGAAAGAUUUAUCGCCAUUAGAGCGGCCCGCGUCUGAUUAGCUAGUUGGGGAGGUAACGGCUCACCAAGGCGACGAUCAGUAGCUGGGCUGAGAGAAUGACCAGCCACACUGGGACUGGGAAGCGGCCCAGACUCCUACGGGAGGCAGGAGAGGGGAAUCUUGCGAAAUGGGGGAAAGGCUGACGCAGCCAUGCCGGGUGAAUGAUGAAGGUCCUAGGAUUGUAAAAUUCUUUCACCGGGGACGAUAAUGACGGUACCCAGAGAAGAAGCCCCGGCUAACUUCGUG